AGGCUAAGUGCCGGUGAUCUAAAUCAGGUUAUAAGCCAAGCAGGCUAAGUGCCGGUGAACUGAAUCAGGCUAUAAGCCUAGCAGGCUAAGUGCCGGUGAACUGAAUCAGGCUAUAAGCCUAGCAGGCUAAGUGCCGGUGAUUUGAAUCAGGCUAUAAGCCUAGCAGGCUAAGUGCCGGUGAUCUGAAUCAGGCUAUAAGCCUAGCAGGCUAAGUGCCAGUGAAUCUGUUUAAAUUAAGUGAUUAUUUGCAUUAGGUAUAUAUAUGAUUUUGGUUAUAUGUAAUGGAUAAAUAUACGAACAUUUGUUUCUAAGUAUUUGAUGAGCAUAUAAACGUUCGAAUCUUUGUGUUCA